rnacentral:rRNA from 1 species
UACGAAGGGGGCUAGCGUUGCUCGGAAUCACUGGGCGUAAAGCGCACGUAGGCGGACUCUUAAGUCGGUGGUGAAAUCCUGGAGCUCAACUCCAGAACUGCCUUCGAUACUGGGAGUCUCGAGUUCGGGAGAGGUGAGUGGAACUGCGAGUGUAGAGGUGAAAUUCGUAGAUAUUCGCAAGAACACCAGUGGCGAAAGGCGGCUCACUGGCCCGGUACUGACGCUGAGGUGCGAAAGCGUGGGGGAGCAAACAGG